GUUAACUGACGUUAACUCAAUGUCACAAAAGAUUUUACAUCAAUAAAAACUUACUUAGAGUAUAUUAUAUGAUAAAAACAUAUUUUUUGUACAGCUACUAUAUUUACUUUUACAGCUUUAUUUGUAGCAGUUUAAUAAGUGUACCAUGUGCAUUGUUAACGUAGCAUUGGGCUUGCUGUUCGCAGUUGCGAUCGUUUACUAUUUAGUACUGGGAUUUAUCAGCCGCUAUCAGAACGUAUAUGACAUAACGAUGGAUAUGAAGUCGCCAUCACCAGUAUAUCUGGCCACGUAUACGGAACCCACGCCACGACACGAAGGCUCGAAGUUUCAAUCACAACAUGCGGAAAACCAGGCUAAAGGCUAGCUUCAACAUUUUACGGAACCCUAGUAUAGGUCCAAAAUCACAAGAAUGAACUUUGAUCAAGUACAUUAGGUAAUUAAAUGAUUUUAAAAGCACAAA